AUGAACGCUAGCGACAGGCUUAACACAUGCAAGUCGAGGGGCAGCACAGGUAGCAAUACCGGGUGGCGACCGGCGCACGGGUGAGUAACGCGUAUGCAACUUGCCUAUCAGAGGGGGAUAACCCGGCGAAAGUCGGACUAAUACCGCAUGAAGCAGGGGCCCCGCAUGGGGAUAUUUGCUAAAGAUUCAUCGCUGAUAGAUAGGCAUGCGUUCCAUUAGGCAGUUGGCGGGGUAACGGCCCACCAAACCGACGAUGGAUAGGGGUUCUGAGAGGAAGGUCCCCCACAUUGGUACUGAGACACGGACCAAACUCCUACGGGAGGCAGCAGUGAGGAAUAUUGGUCAAUGGCCGAGAGGCUGAACCAGCCAAGUCGCGUGAGGGAUGAAGGUUCUAUGGAUCGUAAACCUCUUUUAUAAGGGAAUAAAGUGCGGGACGUGUCCCGUUUUGUAUGUACCUUAUGAAUAAGGAUCGGCUAACUCCGUGCCAGCAGCCGCGGUAAUACGGAGGAUCCGAGCGUUAUCCGGAUUUAUUGGGUUUAAAGGGUGCGUAGGCGGCCUUUUAAGUCAGCGGUGAAAGUCUGUGGCUCAACCAUAGAAUUGCCGUUGAAACUGGGGGGCUUGAGUAUGUUUGAGGCAGGCGGAAUGCGUGGUGUAGCGGUGAAAUGCAUAGAUAUCACGCAGAACCCCGAUUGCGAAGGCAGCCUGCCAAGCCAUUACUGACGCUGAUGCACGAAAGCGUGGGGAUCAAACAGGAUUAGAUACCCUGGUAGUCCACGCAGUAAACGAUGAUCACUAGCUGUUUGCGAUACACUGUAAGCGGCACAGCGAAAGCGUUAAGUGAUCCACCUGGGGAGUACGCCGGCAACGGUGGAACUCAAAGGAAUUGACGGGGGCCCGCACAAGCGGAGGAACAUGUGGUUUAAUUCGAUGAUACGCGAGGAACCUUACCCGGGUUUGAACGCAUUCGGACCGAGGUGGAAACACCUUUUCUAGCAAUAGCCGUUUGCGAGGUGCUGCAUGGUUGUCGUCAGCUCGUGCCGUGAGGUGUCGGCUUAAGUGCCAUAACGAGCGCAACCCUUGCCACUAGUUACUAACAGGUAAAGCUGAGGACUCUGGUGGGACUGCCAGCGUAAGCUGCGAGGAAGGCGGGGAUGACGUCAAAUCAGCACGGCCCUUACGUCCGGGGCGACACACGUGUUACAAUGGCGUGGACAAAGGGAAGCCACCUGGCGACAGGGAGCGAAUCCCCAAACCACGUCUCAGUUCGGAUCGGAGUCUGCAACCCGACUCCGUGAAGCUGGAUUCGCUAGUAAUCGCGCAUCAGCCAUGGCGCGGUGAAUACGUUCCCGGGCCUUGUACACACCGCCCGUCAAGCCAUGAAAGCCGGGGGUACCUGAAGUACGUAACCGCAAGGAGCGUCCUAGGGUAAAACUGGUAAUUGGGGCU
rnacentral:rRNA from 1 species